GGAAGAGUGGCCCUGGUGGGUGAUGCUGCUGGGUAUGUAACGAAAUGCUCCGGAGAGGGGAUAUAUUUUGCGGCCAAGAGUGGGAGGAUGUGUGCAGAGGCAAUUGUUGAAGGUUCAGAGAAUGGGAAGAGGAUGGUGGAAGAAGGGGACUUGAGAAAGUACUUGGAGAAGUGGGAUAAGGCUUAUUGGCCCACUUACAAGGUGUUGGAUGUGCUUCAGAAGGUGUUUUACAGGUCCAACCCUGCGAGGGAAGCGUUUGUGGAGAUGUGUGCUGAUGAGUAUGUGCAGAAGAUGACCUUUGAUAGCUAUUUGUACAAGACAGUGGUGCCUGGCAAUCCACUGGAGGAUCUGAAAUUGGC
rnacentral:lncRNA from 1 species